AAAAAUUUAGUUAAAUCAAUAACAUUAGUUUGUCAUACUGAAAUCAUUAAUCAUUAAUAAUUUUUA
rnacentral:tRNA from 1 species